rnacentral:rRNA from 1 species
UACGUAGGGGGCUAGCGUUGUCCGGAUUUACUGGGCGUAAAGAGCGCGCAGGCGGUCGUUCAAGUCGAGUGUGAAAGCCCCCGGCUCAACUGGGGAGGGUCAUUCGAUACUGAUCGACUCGAAGGCAGGAGAGGGAAGCGGAAUUCCCGGUGUAGUGGUGAAAUGCGUAGAUAUCGGGAGGAACACCAGUGGCGAAGGCGGCUUCCUGGCCUGUUCUUGACGCUGAGGCGCGAAAGCUAGGGGAGCAAACGGG